rnacentral:misc_RNA from 1 species
GCUACCCUCCGCCGGGCCAUCAUGCUUGCUUACAACACUUGCGUCGGUGUAUAGUAGCGAACGCACACUCUUAGGGGAGGGCGUGUUGAGCGAAGCGUGGGGAACAGCGCCAGAGCAGGACUCCGAAUAUACGAUAGUUGGACUCGUGAGAGAUGGCACGGAGCUCAACCAGGCCGUCUCCGAUCUGAGGGAACUCGGAAUAAGUGGCGACGACCUCACGGUCGUCUUGAAGCGUCAGGAGCCCGACGUACCGGAGCCUUUUCCGGAGGGGACGCGCUACAUCGUAAUACCCGACGGUUAUCAGGGGCUUGCGAUCCCCAUAGGAUUCGCCGCUAUCUUCACCGUCUCGGCGCUCCUCUUCGCGUUUACCGCCCCCGGCAUCGGUACGCUCGUCUUCGUGUUCUUUAUUGCCCUGGCCGCGAUCCUGGCCGCCGGGGCUUUCACGCGAGUGGGGGUGGACCCGAUCCUCAUCGAUCU